rnacentral:rRNA from 1 species
GACGGGGGCCCGCACAAGCGGUGGAGCAUGUGGUUUAAUUCGAUGAUACGCGAGGAACCUUACCUGGGCUCAAAUGUAUGUUGACGUAUUCUGAAAGGGAUACUUCUUCGGACAAUAUACAAGGUGCUGCAUGGUUGUCGUCAGCUCGUGCCGUGAGGUGUCGGGUUAAGUCCCAUAACGAGCGCAACCCCUAUCAUUAGUUGCCAUCAGGUCAAGCUGGGGACUCUAAUGAAACUGCCUACGCAAGUAGUGAGGAAGGUGGGGAUGACGUCAAAUCAGCACGGCCCUUACGUCCAGGGCUACACACGUGCUACAAUGGCCGGUACAGAGCGCAGCGAGGCCGCGAGGCGGAGCGAAUCGCUUAAAGCCGGUCCCAGUACGGAUUGGAGUCUGCAACCCGACUCCAUGAAGUUGGAAUCGCUAGUAAUCGCGCAUCAGCAUGGCGCGGUGAAUACGUUCCCGGGCCUU